UACGGAGGGUGCGAGCGUUAAUCGGAAUUACUGGGCGUAAAGGGUGCGUAGGUUGUUAAUUAAGUUAUCUGUGAAAGUCCUGAGCUCAACUUGGGGAUGUCAGAUAAGACUGGUUGACUUGAGUUUAGGAGAGGGUAGUGGAAUUUCCGGUGUAGCGGUGAAAUGCGUAGAGAUCGGAAGGAACACCGGUGGCGAAGGCGGCUACCUGGCCUAAGACUGACACUGAAGUACGAAAGCCAGGGGAGCAAACGGG
rnacentral:rRNA from 1 species